AGGGGCAGCGAGGGUAAUAGCAAUAUUACCUGUCGGCGACCGGCGCACGGGUGCGUAACGCGUAUGCAACCUACCAUCAACAGGGAGGAUAACACUGAGAAAUUGGUACUAAUACCCCAUAAUAUCUCAUGCGGCAUCGCAUGGGGUUGAAAACUCCGGUGGUUGAUGAUGGGCAUGCGUUGUAUUAGCUGGUUGGUGAGGUAACGGCUCACCAAGGCGACGAUACAUAGGGGGACUGAGAGGUUAACCCCCCACAUUGGUACUGAGACACGGACCAAACUCCUACGGGAGGCAGCAGUGAGGAAUAUUGGUCAAUGGACGCAAGUCUGAACCAGCCAUGCCGCGUGCAGGAUGACGGCUCUAUGAGUUGUAAACUGCUUUUGUACGAGGGUAAGCCCCGAUACGUGUAUUGGGUUGAAAGUAUCGUACGAAUAAGGAUCGGCUAACUCCGUGCCAGCAGCCGCGGUAAUACGGAGGAUCCGAGCGUUAUCCGGAUUUAUUGGGUUUAAAGGGUGCGUAGGCGGUUUGAUAAGUUAGAGGUGAAAUGUCGGGGCUCAACCCCGAAACUGCCUCUAAUACUGUUGGACUAGAGAAUAGUUGCGGUAGGCGGAAUGUAUGGUGUAGCGGUGAAAUGCUUAGAGAUCAUACAGAACACCGAUUGCGAAGGCAGCUUACCAAACUAUAUCUGACGUUGAGGCACGAAAGCGUGGGUAGCAAACAGGAUUAGAUACCCUGGUAGUCCACGCAGUAAACGAUGAUAACUCGUUGUCGGCGAUACACAGUCGGUGACUAAGCGAAAGCGAUAAGUUAUCCACCUGGGGAGUACGUUCGCAAGAAUGAAACUCAAAGGAAUUGACGGGGGCCCGCACAAGCGGAGGAACAUGUGGUUUAAUUCGAUGAUACGCGAGGAACCUUACCCGGGCUUGAAAGUUAGCGACGACGCUUGAAAGAGCGUUUCCCUUCGGGGCGCGAAACUAGGUGCUGCAUGGUUGUCGUCAGCUCGUGCCGUGAGGUGUCGGGUUAAGUCCCAUAACGAGCGCAACCCCUACUGUUAGUUGCCAUCAGGUGAUGCUGGGCACUCUAGCGGGACUGCCGGUGUAAGCCGAGAGGAAGGUGGGGAUGACGUCAAAUCAGCACGGCCCUUACGUCCGGGGCCACACACGUGUUACAAUGGUAGGUACAGAGGGCAGCUACCCUGCGAAGGGGUGCGAAUCUCGAAAGCCUAUCUCAGUUCGGAUUGGAGGCUGAAACCCGCCUCCAUGAAGUUGGAUUCGCUAGUAAUCGCGCAUCAGC
rnacentral:rRNA from 1 species